UGUUCUGAUGAUACUAGUAAUAGGAAGUGCUGUCAGAAACGAUAACUGACGAGGUUUAUACUUACCUGACU